AUCUAGGUGACGAGUCUCAAAUAGGACAAAACGCGCGUUCUGGAU
rnacentral:hammerhead_ribozyme from 1 species